rnacentral:rRNA from 1 species
GUACGUAGAGAGCGAGCGUUGGCCGGAAUUACGGGGCGUAAAGGGGGAGAAGGGGGCACUGCCGGUCAGAUGGGGAACACAUGGGCCCAACCCAGGGGCUGCAUUGGCAACCGCAUUUCUUGAGUGAAGUAGAGGAAAGGGGACUUCCGGGUGUAGCGGUGAAAUGCGUAGAUAGCAGGAGGAACACCGGUGGCGAAGGCGGCUUACUGGGCUUUUACUGACGCUGAGGCUCGAAAGCGUGGGGAGCAAACAGGAUUAGAUACCCUGGUAGUCCACGCUGUAAACGAUGAUUACUAGGUGUGGGGGGACUGACCCCUUCCGUGCCGCAGUUAACACAAUAAGUAAUCCACCUGGGGAGUACGGCCGCAAGGUUGAAAAUCAAAGGAAUUGACGGG